ACACCCUCCAGGCGAGAUGCUGGGUCCACUGACCACUCAGUGCCCUCCAGGCCAGAGUGAGAGUGCACAUGGCAACUGAUUCAUUUCCUGCUGAUGGCUUUGAAGAUGUGUUGUGUGACCUGAGAGGCAGUGAGGAUGUGCAAUGGACAAAAAACAUCCUAUUGCUGCUAUCCUUAUACAAACAGCCCAUCAUUUCUGCGACUGGGUCUCAGAACCACAACUAAGCCAAAAUGAAAAAGAUUCACCGGCUGAAGGUAUUGUUCUUGCACCAACAUCAGCUAGCAACGACUGAAAAAAACUACGGGCUGGUACGUCACCUCAACUGGUCUGACCGGAUGGCCUCUACACAAACCAUAUAUAAUCUAGCUAGUAGAUCCAGGCUUUUUCUGUGUUUGUGUUAUCUUCUAAGUAAUGAACAAAUAAUAAUACUACUAAAAAUGGUUAUUUGUGUAUAAUAAACCAUUUGUAGCUCAGAAACUCUCUAACCCACAGGUCUGUAACAAUAUGAUUAUUUCAGUCAAAUAUCAAUGUUUUCUUCUCCAAUUUUCUUUAGGCAUUUAGUAAUGGCCAUUCUUAUACAUGAUUAUUAUUGGAAAUUAUAAUUAUUGAAAUUAAUCUGUGAUCUGAUCCCUUAUUACACUUCUUACAUUCCCGUGGUCAUAUAAAUAGCCUCAUCUACAAAACUAUUUGCAAUGCUUAGCAAUGUGACUACUUAAUCCUAAAAUCCCAGGAGAUACGCUGUAUGUUCUCAAUCACAUUUUAUUGGCACAUUAAGAAGCUAUCACAGAUAUCCUUAUCUUUAUUUUAUGAAUGUUUUCCUUCUGUGAGCUAGAUGUUAUGGGGCUUAAAGGGUAAGAAGUUGUUAAUUAAAUUUAUUUAACUCUACUUUGCUGUAACAUCAGUUGAGAAACUCAGAUGGAAAAUACACAAAAGCAGUAUCUACUUCCUACCUAUUGGAUUCAUUUGCCUCUUUUGCCUAUAAGCAAAGCAAAUGGACAAUGAGAAGGGUUUAAAAAAAUUAAAGUCUGAUUGUGACUUCUGGAAUGAAGUCUUAUAAGGUAAAGUAGAACCUGGACGGAACCUGGCCCCUAUAUUAAGAGUGCCUCAGACAAAAAA